CCUACGGGAGGCAGCAGUGAGGAAUAUUGGUCAAUGGGCGGAAGCCUGAACCAGCCAAGUCGCGUGAGGGAUUAAGGCCCUGCGGGUCGUAAACCUCUUUUGCCGGGGAGCAGUGGUCCGGACGCGUCCGGCCCGGGAGAGUACCCGGAGAAAAAGCAUCGGCUAACUCCGUGCCAGCAGCCGCGGUAAUACGGAGGAUGCGAGCGUUAUCCGGAUUUAUUGGGUUUAAGGGGUGCGUAGGCGGGCAUUUAAGCGUGCCGUGAAAUUUUGGGGCUCAACCAUGAGAGUGCGGCGCGAACUGGAGACCUUGAGUGCGCGGAAGGCAGGCGGGAUUCGUGGGGGAGCGGUGAAAUGCUUAGAUAUCACGAAGAACCCCGAUUGCGAAGGCAGCCUGCCGCAGCGUGACUGACGCUGAAGCUCGAAAGCGCGGGUAUCGAACAGGAUUAGAUACCCGUGUAGUC
rnacentral:rRNA from 1 species